GAACUUUUAAGUUUUGUCCAAGAAGAAGAGGCGUCGAGCGGCUCUUUCGCCCUGAAAGGCGGACCGUUCACACACACACAUACACAUACACACGCACGCACGCACGCGAGCGCGCGCUCUUCCACGGGGCAGAAAACGCGCAGACGCUCCUUCCUUCGCCGCUCGGGACAAGUGCGACGGAGCGACUUUUUGCGCCAAUGGCUUCAGCCGCUAAACAAGCCGCGUCGCCGCGAAGCGGCUGGAAGUGUCACGGCUCCGGUUUCCAGGGCGCUCUGCCCACGGCCGCGUGUCUCCUGCUGUCCGUGGGCUCCAUCGCGACGUGCCUCCUCGCGAACUUCAGGACCGCGCAGCUGGAGCGCAGGGUGCACGCGCUCGAGCGGGAGCGGGCGGCGGCGCUGGCGCUCGAACCCGAGACGUCUGUGCGGGACGCCGCGGACGCGCUGCUGCGGGAGAAACUCAACAUGUUGGAGCCCAAACUGCGCACAGCGAGGGAGGCGCCGGCACACUGUUCCUGUCCUCCAGGUGUGUCUUUCCUUUACUGUGUUUGAGUAGCAGUCGAGUAGCUGGGCUCCUGCUCCAGAGCAACUUCUGUACCCUUGAACUGGGUUCCUGCGCAAUCAUUCCGUUUAUUUAAAGUACUCUGUUAAACACAUGUACCAUAAGUCUGGACAAAAUUCAUACGCUCGGUACUCUGAAUACAAUCAGAAAUGCUGGCGACCCGGUCCUCCCGGGUAAUGUCAAAAAAUAAAUCAC
rnacentral:lncRNA from 1 species